CAAUAGCGUAUAUUAAAGUUGUUGCAGUUAAAAGCUCGUAGUUGGAUUGGUGUUGGUUAUGUUUCUCUGGGAAAUUCUCAGAGCGACGUUAACCAAUAUAUUUGGGAUUUGGUCUAGAAUGGUAUUAAGUUGUUGAUUUAGUUCCAGCCCAUCGUUUACUGUGAAAAAUUAGAGUGUUUAAAGCAGGUUUUAUAACCGUUGAAUACAUUAGCAUGGAAUAAUAAUAUAUGACUCGUAUGGUCUAUUUUGUUGGUUUGCACGUAUGAGUAAUGAUUAAUAGGGACAGUUGGGGGUAUGCAUAUUUGAGCGUCAGAGGUGAAAUUCUUGGAUCGCUGAAAGAUGAGCUAAGGCGAAAGCAUUUACCAAGGAUGUUUUCAUUAAUCGAGAACGAAAGUUAGGGGAUCGAAGAUGAUCAGAUACCAU
rnacentral:rRNA from 1 species